AUUGAACGCUGGCGGCAUGCCUUACACAUGCAAGUCGAACGGCAGCACGGGUGCUUGCACCUGGUGGCGAGUGGCGAACGGGUGAGUAAUACAUCGGAACAUGUCCUGUAGCGGGGGAUAGCCCGGCGAAAGCCGGAUUAAUACCGCAUACGAUCUACGGAUGAAAGCGGGGGACCUUCGGGCCUCGCGCUAUAGGGUUGGCCGAUGGCUGAUUAGCUAGUUGGUGGGGUAAAGGCCUACCAAGGCGACGAUCAGUAGCUGGUCUGAGAGGACGACCAGCCACACUGGGACUGAGACACGGCCCAGACUCCUACGGGAGGCAGCAGUGGGGAAUUUUGGACAAUGGGCGAAAGCCUGAUCCAGCAAUGCCGCGUGUGUGAUGAAGGCCUUCGGGUUGUAAAGCACUUUUGUCCGGAAAGAAAUCCUUGGCCCUAAUACGGUCGGGGGAUGACGGUACCGGAAGAAUAAGCACCGGCUAACUACGUG
rnacentral:rRNA from 1 species